GAUUUUUGUCUUAGUGUAGACGAGUUUUUGAAAAUAACAGCGCAAUACCGACCCUCUUGCAAGAGGGUCGGUAUUGCGCUGUUAUUUAGUAGGUUUUUCUUUAGUAGUUUUUUAUGUAUAUCCUUUUUUUUACGAAAAAUAUUAGUUAGGUGUUAAUAACACUAAUAAAAAUCGAAUUUUAUUAAUUUUAUUUUUAUUUUAUAAUUUUAUAAUAAUUUUAUAGUUAAUUUAAUAUAAAAGAAAAGAGAAAGGUUGUAAUUUUAUGCCUUUUAGAUCUUCACUUCUAUUUUAAUAAAUAAGUAAGAUAAAAUUUAAUAAAUAAGUAAGAUAAAAAAAUAAUGAUCAGUGGUACAAAUUGAAAUCUGAAAUCUUUGUAUUUAAAAUUUUGUAAAUCGUGGAGCAAUGGAGGGGCGGAUGUAGCCAAGUGGAUCAAGGCAGUGGAUUGUGAAUCCACCAUGCGCG
rnacentral:misc_RNA from 1 species